ACGCUCGACACCUACUGGAGGCAGCAGUCGGGAAUAUUGCGCAAUGGAGGAAACUCUGACGCAGUGACGCCGCGUGCAGGAAGAAGGUUUUCGGAUUGUAAACUGCUUUAGACAGGGAAGAGGAAGGACAGUACCUGUAGAAUAAGCUCCGGCUAACUACGUACCAGCAGCCGCGGUAAUCUGAGCGGGCUGGCAAGGC
rnacentral:rRNA from 1 species